rnacentral:lncRNA from 1 species
GUAUAGGGUACAGGCUGAGUGCGCGAGCCUGACGUGAUCUGGAGGCCUGGUUCCCAGAGGACGAGACGCAGUAGAAGUGGGGUAAAGCUGUGGAAUCUGCGUGUUAACAGGUGUCCCGGGGUUAAGCGGGUGGUCGGCACUCUUCACUUUGAGAGUCACUGAUUGUAUAGAAGUCUCCCUGAACAGAGAUGUGUUGACCGUGAAUGGGUGCUGCCGAAUGAUAAGAAGUUGGGUUUGCCCAAGGAAACACAGCUAGCGUUGGCAGAGGUUCACGCUGGUGAGGAAUUUUGCCUCAGGAUGAAUUGUACCUUGAGUGUCACCCACAUCUGAUUUAGAUGAGAUUUUGGACUUUAGACUUUGGAGUUGAUGCUGGAAUGAAUUAAGACUUUUGGGCUAUUGUGAUGUGUGAAGACACAGUAAGAAGGCAGCCGUCUGCAAUCCUGGAAGAGGGUUCUCACGCCAACCCUUGCUGGCACCCUGACCUUGGGCUUCCAACAUCCAGAACUGACACAGUGACCCCACAACACCCCUGGGCAAACAGGCAGGGAGAAGUGAAGCUACUUGCCCAAGAUCACCCAGCUCAAAAGGGCCAGAGGACGGAGAAGCUGAGAGGAAACCCCGGUGAAGAAGAGGCAGUUGUGUGGGAGAAGCCUUUGCCGUCUCUGGAGGGCCUUGCAGCCCAAGGGAGGGGCUCUCCGCAGCUCGGAGCCCAGGCCUGGCUGAGGAGGGGGCCAGAAGAUGCUCACAAGCACGCCCUGUGCCUGCGGCCCGCUGCCUGGUGCAGCCCCUCUGCGUGCAAGUAACACUAGAGAAGGAAAGACCCUGGCCUUACUGACCACCUGUCCCAUCACCU